CUUAGAUGGCACAAUCCAGGCUGUUGCACCCCUUCUUUUCAUCAGUGAGAUGUAAAGUCUUUAUCAGGGACUUCAAAUUUGCAUUUGUCCUAGAACUCACUGCUAGGUAAAUCUGCUAACUAUGCGAGACAGAGAGCUACUUAUUCUCUGCUUUGAGAUUCCCGGAAACAGCAUCUACAGCCUUGGACAAGGCCAUAGUCUGUUUUACCCCUAUUAGCUUAACAGGUCCUACCUUCUGCCUUGCUUUGGUUUCUCCUACUGUAUUUUUUUUUUUUUUUUUUUUGAGAUGGAGUCUCGCUCUGUCUCCCAGGCUGGAGUGCGGUGGCACAAUCUCGGCUCACUGCAACCUCCGCCUCCCGGGUUAAAGCGAUUCUCUUACCUCAGCUUCCUGAGUAGCUGGGAUUACAGGAGCAUGCCACAAGACCCAGCUAAUUUUUGUGUUUUUAGUAGAGACAGAGUUUUGCCAUGUUGGCCAGGCUGUUCAAAACCAGCCUGACCAACAUGGUGAAACCCCGUCUCUACUAAAGAUAUAAAAAUUAGUCGUGUGUGGUGGCGCGUGCCUGUAAUCCUAGCUACUCAGGAGGCUGAGGCAAGAGAAUCACUGGAACCCGGAAGGUGGAGGUUGCAGUGAGCCGAGAUUACACCAUUGCAUUCCAGCCUAGGCAACAGAGUGAGACUCCAUCUCAAAAAAAAAAAAAAAAGAAGAAGAAGAAGAAAGAAAUGAUGCAUGCAAAGUUCUUAGCACAAUGCUUGCCACCAUUAUGAUUAUUUUCCUAUUCUUGGGGGUAAACAGUGGGUCUUUUCUUUGAUGUGGUCUUUGCAGGAGGCCAAGCUCGUUGUUUUGAUCUAUGUAGGGGCCGUUUGGUUCUGCCCUGUUCCCCCAUCCAUCCUACAAGCCUAACCUUGGCCUACUGGCAAGACAGAUGGUCCUUGUCUUACUGGCCUUGCAGUGGGGUGAAGGUCAUUGUUCUGACCCACUACCCUGGCGAUUUGUCUUGGCCCACAUUGCUAGAUGGGGAAGGGCUGUGGGUUGGCUCAGCCUUACGCACUGUCUCCUGGCAGUGGCAUGCUGACUAGCAUUAGGGGUGAGGCCAACCUCUGCCUCAGUAUGCUGGAGCCAGCUAGAGAAGAUGCUUUCCCGGAGGGUGUCAGAGCCCUGUUUGGUGUUGAAACAACACAGAAACUGCUGUGCUCACCCCUUCCCCAUCUAGCAGUCAGCCACCCAGCCCAGCUUCUGGUCCUUCUACUCACUGUGACUCCUCACACAUUACAACCACAUGAGCAUGCAUGCAUACACACACGCGUGCACACACACGUGCGCACACACACAUGCACACACUCGCACACACGUGCGUGCACACACACGCGCGCACACACACAGGCCUGCCCUCAUCUUCCCCAUCCCUGUUACUACCCUUCCUCCUCCUGGUUAAAUAAGCAGCAAAGGGAAAAGUGGGCACUGACAAAAUGUGUAAGCUGGCAGGACCUAAUCUAAUAUACAGGUGGAUAACAAAACCUCAUAGCCAAUGAACAGGACAGGAAUCUGAUAACUCACAAGAGUGUGCUAUAGUUUUCUGCUGAAAUUUCUAAAAAAUUUCUCUUCACAGCCACUCCUCUUUUGGAUCAAAGGUAAUCAAAGUAAGAUGAUUCUUCUUUACAAAAUAAGGCGGGUCUCAUUACCUUUGGCCUGAUUACUUACAUAAGUGCAGCAAGAAUGGUAAUCGAUCACAUAGGCCUUUUUAAAUUUGCUUUGCUGAAACUUUUCGUAAGGAAUCUCAGAUUGUACCUUUGAAAGCUACGAAGCCAAGGCAAGAAUUCGUCACCAGAUUUUGCCUAUAGCACCUACAGAUUUUGGGUAGAUCUUCUCUUCCUGAAGUUCCCAAAAUAUCCUAAGCCUCCUGGACCUGGCAGGAAGUGACCUUCUUUACUCAUCUGUAAUGCUGAGGACACUGUAAGCCAGGUACCAGGCUGGCUUUCCCUAGAAGAUAUUGUAGACUGGGUCCAUCAAGUCUACUUCAGUUCCUUAAGACUGUCUGGUCAUAUCUGAUGCAUCAUUUUCAAAUAUGACAUUCCAGUCAAAGCCUUGGUUGUAUAACCAGUAUUUCCCAUCAUGUCCUGUUAUAAGGAGGACAGAUUCUUAUUGAACUUGUGUGAAUAAAUAUAUUCCAUGAAGAUGAGAACAUUCAAUAAGAAUUUCUGGCCAGGCGUGGUGGCUCACGCCUGUAAUCCCAACACUUUGGGAGGCUGAGGCAGGCAGAUCAUCUGAGGUCAGGCGUUCGAGACCAGACUGGCUAGCAUAGUAAAACCCCAUCUCUACUGAAAAAUGCAAAAAAAAAAAAAAAAAAAAUUAGCCGUGGUGGCAGGUGCCUGUAAUCCCAGCUACUUGGGAGGCUGAGGCAGGAGAAUCACUUGAACUCGGGAGGUGGAGGUUGUGAUGUGCUGAGAUCGUGCCAUUGCACUCCAGCCCAGGCGACAGAACAAAACUCCGUCCCCCAACUCCCACACCCCUCAAAAAAAGAAUUUUUGAAUUCUGGAGGGGUUAGGCAGAGAGAAAAAGAUAAAUGCUUCAUUUCUGUUUUAAAAAAGCAUAAUCAGCCAGGCACGGCGGCUCACGCCUGUAACUCCAGCACUUUGGGAGGCCGAGGUGGGUGGAUCACCUGAGGUCAGGAGUUUGAGACCAGCCUGGCCAACAUGGUGAAACCCCAUCUCUACUAAUAAUACAACAAUUAGCCAGGCGUGGUGGCACGUCUGUAAUCCCAGCUACUCCAGAGGCUGAGGCAGGAGAAUGGCUUGAACCCGGGAGGCAGAGGUUGCAGUGAGCCGAGAUCGCACCACUGCACUCCAGCCUGGGCGACAGAGUGAGACUCCUUCUC
rnacentral:lncRNA from 10 species